rnacentral:rRNA from 1 species
CUGGAAUAAUACGCCGAAAGGGGUACUAAUACCGGAUAUUCUUGCUUUAUAUAAGUUUUGCAAGGAAAGGUGGCCUCUGAAUAUGCUACUGCAUGAAGAGGGGUCUGCGUACCAUUAGCUAGUAGGUGGGGUAAUGGCCUACCUAGGCGACGAUGGUUAGCGGGUCUGAGAGGAUGAUCCGCCACACUGGCACUGGAACACGGGCCAGACUCCUACGGGAGGCAGCAGUGAGGAAUAUUGCGCAAUGGGGGCAACCCUGACGCAGCGACGCCGCGCGAGUGAGGAAGGCCUUCGGGUCGUAAAGCUCUGUCAAAGGGAAAGAAGUGCAUGGUGGCUAAUACCUGCCAUGUUUGACGGUACCCUUAAAGGAAGCACCGGCUAACUCCGUGCCAGCAGCCGCGGUAAUACGGAGGGUGCAAGCGUUGUUCGGAAUCACUGGGCGUAAAGGGCGCGUAGGCGGUUUGAUAAGUCAGAUGUGAAAGCCCACGGCUUAACUGUGGAAGUGCAUUUGAAACUGUCAGACUUGAGUAUCAGAGGGGAAAGUGGAAUUCCCGGUGUAGAGGUGAAAUUCGUAGAUAUCGGGAGGAAUACCGGUGGCGAAGGCGACUUUCUGGCUGAAUACUGACGCUGA